ensembl:lncRNA novel transcript
UCUUAUAUGGCUUUUUCUUUAUUUUAAAUGAAUUUGGCAUUAGAGGGUAUAAUGUGACACAAUAUUUUUUAAAAAGAAAAAAACUCGUACUUGGAGCUGGAAGAUAUGGAUGCAUAUCCUAGCUCUUUAGGAGCCAUAUGACAUUAACAAAUCCCUUAAUAUCAGUGGUGUGGCUGUCAGAUGGAUGUGCCGGCCAUCUGACUUCUUAUCUAACAUCACAUUCCCUUCCUACCAACAUCACAGAAUUAUUGCAAAAUUUCAGAAGAGGUAGAUGAACAAGGGCUACCUAAAUAUAAGGAAUAAAUUUACUUUACUUUGAAUGUUUCUGUCUUGUAUUUCCAACUAAAUAAAGAUAUCCUCAAGAGCUAUAGUCUUUGAACUUCUAUGUCCCAUGCUGCACCUAACAAUAUGCUUCAUUAUACACAGCGGGCAUUUAAUUGAGCCUGCUUACAUCAUUCCUCUCUGGUGAGGAGAGUUUCUCUAGAUUCAGAAAGAAACUUCCAGAAGAUCAGGAGAAAGGAGCAGAGUGAA